rnacentral:piRNA from 1 species
UAGCCAUUUGGUUGCUCAUUUUGCUGCAA